rnacentral:lncRNA from 1 species
UGUAUCCUUUGUUAUCUGACGGAGUGUGAAACAAAAUAGGGACAGAUCUAGGUUCUUGAUGUGCCAGGUGUUGCUUAAAAAAAACUGUAUAAUGUAUGUUUCUGCCAAAACAUAAGUUGCCAUUUUCAGAAUACAGUUUCAGAUGGCUGAGAGAAGAAGGUAAGUAAAGUAAACUCUUAUGCAUUGAAAACUGGCAUGUUUUCCUCCUGAAUGUAUCCUUCCUCACUCAUGAGGAGUGAGGGAGAGUUAAGAUAUCUUGAGUAAUUCUAUUAUUCUGAAUGAUUAACCCAGGAGACAGUCCCUCAGCUUUGUCUUGUUUAUUAAUUCUUCUUUCCUGAAGGAGUAUGUAUACCAAUAGCCAGGUCACACAAGUACUAAAUAGUCUAGAAAAAAGUCUCUAGAAUUUCCCUGUGAAAAUGCUGGUAUUAGUGGGAAACAGAUUUUAGUCUGUUAUCUUUGAUUGUACAUGAUCCAUAUGUUAGAUGGUCGGUGAACUGACUUAUCUAUAGGCCUGCUGACACUUCACUGGGAAAUGGUUAACUUAGGCCCUCUGUCACCUACGUGUAACUGAAGGAGUCUUACCUUUUUCGUUAAGGUGUUGAGAUGAGGUUAAAGGACGUGUCAUAUCCAGUGAUAGUAGCACCAGCAUGGAUCCCUGGAAUGAAUGCUGUUCAACACGCUGACACAGAAUUGCUGGAAAAAGAGGGAUGUGUAUUAUUCCUACCAAAUUUGGCACCAGCUCCACUUCCCCGUUUCUGAACAAGAAUGCAUGACAGACCAUAUUAAAAAGACUUGAGCCAAUCAAACAGUCCAAUCCUAAAGGAUCCUGGGACAACCAGGUAAGCUAUCUGUCUCUGUCACCAGACAGAUGAGCAUUCUCAGACUGUUUUCACUGGCAACCCCUGAAUGCAGAUAUAUCUUCCUGCAUCUCACUA